rnacentral:lncRNA from 1 species
UUGGUGUGGGGGCAGUUUUUAUGUUCUAUAAUACAAAGCAUACUAAAUGGAAUAAAUGGAAAUUUAGAGUCACAGUUAAACAUUCGACUUAUGUCUUCUCUUUUAAGCAUUUUAAACUACCUCUAUUAUAUUGAUUUUUAGAAGAAUUGUUUUCUAAAGAAAACUGCUUCCUGAUGUUGGCGCAGGUGGGCUCUCUGUGAUAUCUGCGGCCAUGGUAGUCCAUUUUUCCUACUAACUUUGUUAAUGUCCUGAGAAAAACUAGAAAUUUGAAUAGUGCUGUGUUUAGUCAUUCCUCCCAAUGCCAGUGAUCCCUUAAAUCUGGGUGUUGUCCAUCAUCAUCCCUGCCCGUCUCCGUGCAUCCACAACUGCCACAUCCUGAGAGCUCAGUCCAUCAUAAAUGCAAUUAUAGCCUUUUACCUCCUCCUCACCAGAUACUCUCUACAGGGCAAGUUCAUCAAACUGUGUGCUUAGAAGCUCUGGAGCAGAACUCUCACCCACCAGAAGAUUGCCUCAAGAGAUAAAAGAUGAUUUACAACCCAAAGUAUGCCCACUAGAGGUUUUGGCCAUUUUUACAAUGUAUUCCUGCCCAUGAAGAUGCCAACUUGACUGCCCAAUACAUAAAGCACCAAAGCAAGUAUGCGGACCCCCCCACACCUCCUCACUUCUGCUCCUGUGUAGACCCCCAUCUUUAAAAGCACUUACUUUCUCCUGCAAAAGCAAAUCAGACCCUUACAGCAGGAAGGCUUUUCUUCUUCUCCUAAACUAGCUUUGGAAUAAAAAGUUAUUUUCUUUA